rnacentral:rRNA from 1 species
UGGUGGCCAUAGCGCCGUUGUCCCACCCGAUCCCAUUCCGAACUCGGUCGUGAAAGACGGCAGCGCCGAUGGUACUGACGCUCAAGCGUCGGAAGAGUAGGUCGCCGCCA